rnacentral:tRNA from 1 species
GGUAGGGCGGCCAAGUGGUUAGGCGGCGGCCUGUAGCCCCGAAGACGGAGGUUCGAGCCCUCUCCCUAUCA